rnacentral:rRNA from 1 species
GACGUAGGGCGCGAGCGUUGUCCGGAUUUAUUGGGCGUAAAGAGCUCGUAGGCGGCUUGUCGCGUCGUCCGUGAAAACCUGCGGCUCAACUGCAGGCUGGCGGUCGAUACGGGCAGGCUGGAGUUCGGUAGGGGAGACUGGAAUUCCUGGUGUAGCGGUGAAAUGCGCAGAUAUCAGGAGGAACACCGGUGGCGAAGGCAGCUCUCUGGGACGGUACUGACGCUGAGACGCGAAAGCGUGGGGAGCGAACAGG